UCCAACUCCUGGCCCUUCACAGGACACCCUAAGAAUCAUACCAUGUACCUGAGACUGUCAUCCAAACACUUCCAGAACUGAGUGAAUUGAGGUGGAGAACCAAAGCCAGAAUGAUCUUACAGGGAUCUGCUUCUCUUCCUCCACAUGCUUCCUCUAGUAACUGGGACACUUUGGGCAUAAAAAGCACCAGGAUGGAAAUACUUCAUAGGAUGUCCAUAUUUCAACAGUGUCCCCGGAUGGGCAUCAGGAAGGACUCCCAGCUGUCUAGGAUCCUCAGCACCAAGAAGACCAGAACAAGAGGACCUAUGGGACAUCAGUGGGUUCCAUGAAGUGGUGAUAUAUUUUCUGUUUAAUCUCUCUCUGUCACUCUCUUUCUUCCCC